CGCUUGAUGGAGGAGUGUGAUGAGGACGGGCAGGCACAGAUACUUCUUGUCUCCCGGCUCAUUUGCCUACUGAAUAGGUGAAUACUAUUUCGUUACGGAAAUACUUAAACACAGUCCCACCAGAUGUUAGAAUGACAGGUCUACAAAUGUGCUGCCACUUGCAGUAAACAUUUGUGUCUAAGAGGAACGUUUUUGCUUAAUUUGACAUUCUAGAGUGAAGAGCGAGUCUGUAUUUUUCUCACAGACUGCAAGUCACUCUGACUACGUAACAUCACCACUAUUAGGCUCUCUUGCUGUUGAUGAAACUCUUUCCCAGCCAGGAGAGAACCCGAAAACAACAUUAUAUAACUCUCUGUUACAUUCUCGACAAAACAGAAUAACAGUUUUUGUAGUUCACACAGCACCUGCACGGUUAUAAUAUUCUAUGCACCGUUAAGUGGUACAAAUUUAUUUUAUGUGCAUAAGUAAAAUGAUCACAGUCCAGGCUCAGAAAAAUGUCUCAAAAAAAAAAAAAAUACCCACCUACGUGUGUAACUCCUGGGAAUAUAUGUAGUCGCCCAGACUCAUCCUCUGCGAGACAAAUCCUUCCCUCCAUCCAUGCUAUGACAAUUCCUAUGCUAUUGUGACACUGAAAUCAUUGGGAUGAUCUUUUCCCAAUUUUCCAGAACAUUCCCAGACCCCAAGGAAGACAAGCUGUGCUUGGGAAAGGGUUCGAAAGAAAAGCGUUCUGGGUUUUGGUUUUUGGUUUUUGUUGUUGUUGUUGUUUUUUUCCUCAGCAACUACAGAGUCCACUGCAGUUCAGAAGCAAACAGCCUCCGUCCAUCCCAGGAGCUGUACCCCAGAUAAGUGAGCUCAUCCUUGGGGGAGCUCACGGGGUGAAUGGGGGAGCUCACAGUGUGAAUGGGGGAGCUCACAGUGUGAAUGGUACACCGAGAGCCAACAACGGAGGGGAGGGAAAACACCACACCAGACGCAUUCAUUGAUCUUUGGAAACAGCCUCGUGCCCAUCUCUGUGUGUUCAGAGACCUCCAGGCCUUGAUGAACUCCAACUUCAUACCCUGCAAGUCCUGGGUUAGGUAGGUCAAGGGGAAGAUAUGGAGAGUGACCACCUCACCUAAUGGCUCUGUCUCCCCGAUUUGCUGGAUCCCGGAUUGUGCUCGCAUGGGCUUCUCAAAGCCAAUCUCCAGAAAUUUUAUGAGCCAGCUGAUAAUAUAGUGGAGGCUUGAAGUUGACUAUGAUGAAAAAUGUGCCAACUACAGAAACUGUCAAGCACAGAAAGUCCAGGCCUUUCCUUGCCCAGAGUCCAUUAUUAAAAGUUUACCAGCUUAAAGCUGUCUUCCAGCCUGCGGGGAGGCGAGAGGUCAUUGAGAAGUCAUGUUCGCAGAUGCCCCCCACCCUCUCCUGUCUAACCUCACACUGUAAUCUUGGUGCUCGCUGAUAAUGUCCACAUUGGGUCUUACAGACAGAUGGAUACUGUCUCUCUGAAGCAACCACUCAGGUGUGUCAUGGGUAGGAUGUACAGACUGCUAAACUGCCUCACCUUAAGUAGACAGUUCUAGGAAACCCUCAUACCCCCAUCUGUCAAGAAAUGCAUGUCUGCCCUCCCCUAAAGCUCACAGUUGCUCCUUUUUUCCUCAGCUCUUCAGCUUGGACAUAAACGUGGACUCUCUCUCUUCUUUCAAUCUGCUCCCCCUGCAAGACCAAGCGUGGGGAAAUGCCACUGUAGCUUCAAGAGCAACUUGAAAUUGACAAUUCCCUCAGCUUCAGUUUCUGGCCAAAAAGAGUUAAGACUUUGUCGGCUCCACGCCACCAGGGGCUUCAGAAAGUCAGUCAAAUCUGCCGACUCAACACAUUUUAGCUUUCGAUGGAAAAGAUGCCAACCGAAGCAAAAUGGGAAGACAUUUCCAGGGAGUGGUAACACUAAGACAGCGGGAGUAGGGAGAAAUUGAAAUAACUUCUAUUUCAAAGACCUCAUCAACUGUCUGUACCUCACCUGCCCAGUGAAUUAUUAUCUCAGCCAUUUUACAAAUGUCAUGAUGAGAAUGGUCAUUUAAAUCAGCUGGCUUUGCAGAAGUGUUCCCCUGACAUCCUCCUCUCCAUCCUCCCUGCACCAGGCCUUCCCAAGCCACACGGACGCAGCGCUCUCCGGUGUGCGGGACUAUUCCUCUGAAGUAGAUAACAGCCGUUCUUUAAUGUGCAGUUCAAAGUCUUCAGUGCAUUUGGCGUUUUUUAAGAAUAUAAUAUAGGUGGUGGUGACGUGCGCAGUUGGUAGAGCCAUGGGUUCUGUCCCCAGCACUGCGUAUUGUGAUGGCGCACACCUACUCAUCAGCACUCAGGAAGGGAAGCCAGGGCCAUCGGAAGUGCAAAGGCAUCUCCAGCUACACUGAGGUUCAACUUCAGCCUGCACUGUGUGAUACCCAGUGUCAAAAAUGUGUUUUUAAAUAGACAUAUUUUUUAAUUUAUUAAAACUUUAUUAUAAAGAACUUUUAAAUUUUAAUUUAAAAAAAUCACACAACACAAUAACCAGACCUGUUCAAAGCGCAAUAAAAUCUCUACGUCUCCAUGAACUUCCAUCCAGGUGGAGCACUGUAGCUCUGAAGUGGUGGAGAUUCACAUUCGAUUCUACACUUUCUGUCUCUGGUACAAAAAACAUUUUAUUUGAUCAUGGAAAGUGACCAUGAACCUGUAAAUAGUCACGUUAUACAUUAUAUAUAUUAUAUAUAAUCAAUGUGACUCCUAUGUUACCUGCUUCUCAUAUUUUUCUUUUCCUUUUCUGAUUUUAUAGAUUUCCUUUAAAUGUGUUUCAGGCAUAUACAAACAUGCAUGUACAGAUAAAUGUUGAUAGUUGUAUAAACCCAUGUUCAAGCUGAUGAAUAUAUGCAUCACCCCAAAACGUCCUCAUGCUGUUUGUCCUCUGAACGACCAGCUCCUUUACACAGGCGCCAGGCAACACCGGAUUCACUUUCUGUAAAACUCAGCUACCUUUCUGCUCAAGGCUCAGUAAAAACAGAUCCAUACAAUCUGUCCUUUAUAACUUGCCUCUUUCACUUAGCAUAAUGAUUUUUCUAACAUUAAAUUUUUUAAGCAUUGAACAUUAAUAAUAACUGAUUUAGCCCUUAUUUUAAAUGUGUGUAUGAGCGCUUUGGCUAAGUGCAUAUCUGUGUAGAAGUAGUUGAGACAGUGAGACGAGCAAAAAUCUGCCAGCAGCAGCCGAGGACCAAACAUUAGCAGAAGGAGCUCCGACUCCUGGUUCCUGCCACACAGUCAGCAAGGACUCACUUGAGAGCCUUUUGCUUUGCUGUUUGUUUUGUUUGGAGGGAGGGGCUGAGACUCGGUCUUACUCUGUAACCUAGAGUCACUAAAUUCAUAAAAUCUCUCCCUACCCCGUGGACUCCCUGUGUGAGCCACCACACGCAGCUCACUCAGCUGGUUUGAAGGACUUUUCUGACAGAGGCACAGUCGUCCUUUUGCAGGUUACAUACAGCAGCUUCCCUUAUGACUGUUUUAACUCCUGCCGGAGCGAUCAGGAUACGGUCCUUCGGGGUUCGACUUUUGAUAUUCCCCAAGAUGCUUUUCGAGAGACGGAGCGGUGGUGGCCGGUUGAACAGAGCACGCCAGAAUGGGGACCAUGGUCCUGGCCCGAGGAGAGUCCCAGAUCCUUCCUUCCCCCUGACUGUCCUGCAGUGACUGGAGAUAAUUUCUACACCCACCCUCACCACGCAAACAGACCAACUAUCUCCUCUAAGACCCCGGGAACCUACAGAGACUGACUCACAAUGAAACCCUGCUCCUUCCUCCUUCCACCCUCCACUUUAAUUUGCUACAGAGGGAGAGUGAUCUAAAAGGUCUCAUCUCAUCCAAAUGCAGAUAAAUGUGGCCUGCUUUGAGCAUACAGUACCCACGCCAGCUGAGAGGUCUGCACCACUGUACAAUUGUCAAGGGAAAAAAAAAUUAGUGCUUCUAAUUCAAGGACAAAAAUAAAAUCGCUCU